AUGUUCAAAACUAUAUCUAGGUCAACUAUACUGCACCAACCACACUUCCCCAAACAAACACGAUCGUUCAGGAAACACCCCUUCUCAUACAAAAACAUGAAGCCUACUGUUCUCCAUGUACUUUGUGUCUGCAGCAUAUUAGGCCACAAGUGUGCAUGGGUGUGUCUCGCUCCAAGCCGGUCAAAGGUCAGAUAUGGCAGGCCCACUAAAAGACAAAGACAGUCCACUGCACCCAGAUGUCCAACAGCAACAAACACUCACAGAGUUUCCCACAAGAGAAACAUGCUACACCCCUUCAAUCCAGAUGGCACCUCCCUUCCCAGAAGAGGACUGAUGGAUUUUCAAUCUACGAAACAUUUGUCUGCAUGGCAUCACCCAUGGGUUUUAACUGCAUUAUUUCACCAGAUACUGUCCUAAGAAGAGAAACACUUUCAUUACCUUCAUAAUUCACUUUGGAAAAUGUUCCUUAGAUGUCUCCUUUCUCCUUUUCUGGUUAAUACUACAGGAGCAAAAAAACAUCCUUACUUGUCACAAUGGCAUGUAUUUAAUUAACUGAUCGAGAUUACAAAACACUGUGGUGGAUGAGAUUCCUGGAUCCUGACCUUGAUAGAAUUGCAGUGCAUGGUCAUCAAAUUAUACAUGACACAUUUCCUUCUCAAGUGGUUAAGCAGAUCAAACUCUACUAACAUGAAUUUACUUUACACUAUUUGAGCAGUUAGAGUACCACUUCACAUAGAGUACAUUACUGUCUAAAAGUUUGGGGUCAGUAAGAUAUUUUUUCCCCAUUUGGCAAAGACGCAAUAAAAAAAAGAGCAGAAAGACA
ensembl:lncRNA